rnacentral:rRNA from 1 species
ACGGAUAUCUUGGCUCACGCAUCGAUGAAGAACGUAGCAAAAUGCGAUACUUGGUGUGAAUUGCAGAAUCCCGUGAACCAUCGAGUUUUUGAACGCAAGUUGCGCCCAAUGUCUUUCGGCUGAGGGCACGUCUGCCUGGGUGUCACAUAUUGUGUUGCGCCUAU